UGAGGAAUAUUGGUCAAUGGACGGAAGUCUGAACCAGCCAAGUAGCGUGCAGGACGACGGCCCUAUGGGUUGUAAACUGCUUUUAUGUGGGAAUAAAGUCAGGGACGUGUCCCUGUUUGCAUGUACCACAGGAAUAAGGACCGGCUAAUUCCGUGCCAGCAGCCGCGGUAAUACGGAAGGUCCGGGCGUUAUCCGGAUUUAUUGGGUUUAAAGGGAGCGUAGGCCGGAGAUUAAGCGUGUUGUGAAAUGUAGUGGCUCAACCUCUGCACUGCAGCGCGAACUGGUCUUCUUGAGUACGCACAACGUGGGCGGAAUUCGUGGUGUAGCGGUGAAAUGCUUAGAUAUCACGAAGAACUCCGAUUGCGAAGGCAGCUCACGGGAGCGCAACUGACGCUGAAGCUCGAAAGUGCGGGUAUCGAACAGGAUUAGAUACCCUGGUAGU
rnacentral:rRNA from 1 species